rnacentral:rRNA from 1 species
GACGGAGGGGGCUAGCGUUGUUCGGAAUUACUGGGCGUAAAGGGCGCGUAGGCGGCUCUUUAAGUUAGGCGUGAAAGCCCUGGGCUUAACCUAGGAAUUGCGUUUAAUACUGGAGAGCUAGAGAUUGGUAGAGGGAAAUGGAAUUCCUAGUGUAGAGGUGAAAUUCGUAGAUAUUAGGAAGAACACCAGAGGCGAAGGCGGUUUCCUGGGCCAACACUGACGCUGAGGCGCGAAAGCGUGGGGAGCAAACAGG